rnacentral:rRNA from 1 species
GAGCGUUCUGCUGCGAAGGUGUGCUGUGAGGCAUGCUGGAGGUAUCAGAAGUGCGAAUGCUGACAUAAGUAACGAUAAAGCGGGUGAAAAGCCCGCUCGCCGGAAGACCAAGGGUUCCUGUCCAACGUUAAUCGGGGCAGGGUGAGUCGACCCCUAAGGCGAGGCCGAAAGGCGUAGUCGAUGGGAAACAGGUUAAUAUUCCUGUACUUGGUGUUACUGCGAAGGGGGGACGGAGAAGGCUAUGUUAGCCGGGCGACGGUUGUCCCGGUUUAAGCAUGUAGGCUGGUUAUCCAGGCAAAUCCGGAUAAUCAAGGCUGAGGUGUGAUGACGAGGCACUACGGUGCUGAAGUAACAAAUGCCCUGCUUCCAGGAAAAGCCUCUAAGCAUCAGGUAACAUCAAAUCGUACCCCAAACCGACACAGGUGGUCAGGUAGAGAAUACCAAGGCGCUUGAGAGAACUCGGGUGAAGGAACUAGGCAAAAUGGUGCCGUAACUUCGGGAGAAGGCACGCUGGUGUGUAGGUGAAGUCCCUGCGGAUGGAGCUGAGACCAGUCGAAGAUACCAGCUGGCUGCAACUGUUUAUUAAAAACACAGCACUGUGCAAACACGAAAGUGGACGUAUACGGUGUGACGCCUGCCCGGUGCCGGAAGGUUAAUUGAUGGGGUUAUCCGUAAGGAGAAGCUCUUGAUCGAAGCCCCGGUAAACGGCGGCCGUAACUAUAACGGUCCUAAGGUAGCGAAAUUCCUUGUCGGGUAAGUUCCGACCUGCACGAAUGGCGUAAUGAUGGCCAGGCUGUCUCCACCCGAGACUCAGUGAAAUUGAACUCGCUGUGAAGAUGCAGUGUACCCGCGGCAAGACGGAAAGACCCCGUGAACCUUUACUAUAGCUUGACACUGAACAUUGAGCCUUGAUGUGUAGGAUAGGUGGGAGGCUUUGAAGCGUGGACGCCAGUCUGCGUGGAGCCAACCUUGAAAUACCACCCUUUAAUGUUUGAUGUUCUAACGUUGGCCCCUGACCGGGGUUGCGGACAGUGUCUGGUGGGUAGUUUGACUGGGGCGGUCUCCUCCCAAAGCGUAACGGAGGAGCACGAAGGUUAGCUAAUCCUGGUCGGACAUCAGGAGGUUAGUGCAAUGGCAUAAGCUAGCUUGACUGCGAGCGUGACGGCGCGAGCAGGUGCGAAAGCAGGUCAUAGUGAUCCGGUGGUUCUGAAUGGAAGGGCCAUCGCUCAACGGAUAAAAGGUACUCCGGGGAUAACAGGCUGAUACCGCCCAAGAGUUCAUAUCGACGGCGGUGUUUGGCACCUCGAUGUCGGCUCAUCACAUCCUGGGGCUGAAGUAGGUCCCAAGGGUAUGGCUGUUCGCCAUUUAAAGUGGUACGCGAGCUGGGUUUAGAACGUCGUGAGACAGUUCGGUCCCUAUCUGCCGUGGGCGCUGGAGAAUUGAGGGGGGCUGCUCCUAGUACGAGAGGACCGGAGUGGACGCAUCACUGGUGUUCGGGUUGUCAUGCCAAUGGCACUGCCCGGUAGCUAAAUGCGGAAGAGAUAAGUGCUGAAAGCAUCUAAGCACGAAACUUGCCCCGAGAUGAGUUCUCCCUGAGACUUUAAGUCUCCUGAAGGAACGUU